ensembl:lncRNA
UCUUCCCAUUUUGGGCAUUUUUCAUGAUGGUAGUGGGCUGAGGUGGAAAAGUGAGAGUUCCUCUUUGCUUCUACCCCUUAGAAAAGGCCACUUCCACGUUCAAUCCCUCAACAAAUAGUCAUUGAAUUCCUCUGUCAGAAAUUGUGAAUAACAUGCAACCCUUGACCUCAAGAAGCUCAGGAUUGGUGAGGGGGACAGGAAAGUGAAAUAGCAAUUUUAACCCAAUACAUGCUAUGUGCUGCAGGAAGGGUUAAUGCUGGGUGCGAUGGGAGCCCCCAGUGCUGACCUGUGGAAGAGGCGAGGAACUCAGGUUAGAUUUCUAAGAAGACAUGACAUCUACCUCAGCUGAGAUCCAAUGAGUGGAUAGAAUUUAUUCAAUUUAAAAUGAUGUAUCAGUUAGCUACUGCUACAAUAUGCUGUGUAACAAACACCUACCAUCUCUCAGUGGCAAAUAACAAUACCAUUUAUCUGGUUCAUGUGUCUGUGUUGGUUGAGGGUCUGCUGAUGUUGGCUGGGCCUGAUCAGGCAACUCUGCUACAUGAGCCUCUUAUCCUCCUCUGGGACCACCAGUCUAGCCUGGCAUGAUUCUCUAAUGGUGACAGAAAAAGGAGAAGAGAGAAAGUCCAAUCACACUUCUUCUAACAUUCCAUUGGCCAAAGUAAGUCAUAUGUCUGCACCCAAGGUUAAGGGGCAGGGAAACAUAUUCCAUAUAUGUCACCUCUUUGGUGGGAUAACACACACAUACCCAGCUCUUUGGAAUGGUGACCAUUAAUGCAACCUAUCACAUGUGGGAUGGAUGCAGUGGUGGUGGUGGGACGUUAUAGGAUGAGGGACAGCAUAAGCAGUAUGGGGCUGGGCAUGCUGGGCACUGUAGGAGCUUUGCAUAUGAGGAGGGGCUUGCAAGACUCCUGGAAGGGCAUGCAGGAGGAAAAGAGAAAGGUCUUAUGUGUUAGCACGAUCUUUGGGUUUUGUCCCCAGGGCAGUGAGGAAGCACUGGUGGGUUUUUAGUGGGGAGUGACAUGGUCAGAUUUUGCCAUAGAGUCAUCUCUCUGGAUAGCUUCAGAGUGGAGAACAGAGUGGGUAGGACAGAGGUUUAGGGUGAGAAGACCAGUUAGGAGCCUUUCAGUAACCCAGGCUUCCACGGGACCUGAUUUCAUGAUCAGGAGACUCAACUUGUGACCUCUUGUUUUUAUAAAGCAUUUUUCCUGGAUGCUUGUUAAACUAUAACUCAUGGUAUACUAGCUCAUAGCAAAAAGCCCUGCUGCUGUUAUAGCAAAUGGAACCAGUGGAGACGGUUAAGGAGUAGGAGGCUUGCUGGUCCUAACACAUCCCAUUCACCUUGGCCUUGACUCAGUAACUGGUCCCCUGAACCUCACCAUCAUCUUUUCUCAGGCCCCACAGCUCUUGAGCAGGCGGAAACUAGAGGCUGGUAUCCCGGGUAGAAAUUGCUUCGCUCGGCCGGGCGUGGUGGCUCAUGCCUGUAAUCCCAGCACUUCUGGCAGGCCGAGGCAGGUGGACCACUUGAGGGCAGGAGACCAGCCUGGCCAACAGGGUGAAACCCCAUCUCUACUAAAAAUACAAAAAACUAGCCAGGCAUGGUGACACACAUCUGUAAUCCCAGCUACUCGGGAGGCUGAGGCAGGAGAAUUGCUUGAACCCAGAAGACGGAGGUUGUAGUGAGCUGAGAUCACACCACUGCACUCCAGCCUGGGCAACAACA